rnacentral:rRNA from 1 species
GAAUCAUUCGCAAUGGGGGAAACCCUGACGGUGCGACGCCGCGUGGAGGAUGACGGUCUUCGGAUUGUAAACUCCUGUCAUCGAAGAGUAAGGCUUGGGGGUGAACAGCCCCGCAAGAUUGAUAGUAUUCGAAGAGGAAGGGACGGCUAACUUCGUGCCAGCAGCCGCGGUAAUACGAAGGUCCCAAGCGUUGUUCGGAAUCACUGGGCGUAAAGGGGGCGUAGGCGGCGAUGUCAGUCAGGUGUGAAAUGCCGGGGCUCAACUCCGGAAUGGCAUUUGAUACUGCAUUGCUAGAGUAGUGGAGGGGCGACUGGAAUUCACGGUGUAGCAGUGAAAUGCGUGGAUAUCGUGAGGAACACUAGUGGCGAAGGCGAGUCGCUGGACACUAACUGACGCUGAGGCACGAAGGCCAGGGGAGCGAAAGGG